UACGUAGGGUGCAAGCGUUAAUCGGAAUCAUUGGGCGUAAAGCGCACGUAGGCGGCUCUUCAAGUCUCUUGGUGAAAGGCUGGGGCUCAACCCCAUGCAUGCCGGGGAUACUGGGGAGCUGGAGACAGGUAGAGGCCAGCGGAAUUCCUGGUGUAGCGGUGAAAUGCGCAGAUAUCAGGAGGAACACCGGUGGCGAAGGCGGAUCUCUGGGCCGAUACUGACGCUGAGGAGCGAAAGCGUGGGGAGCGAACAGG
rnacentral:rRNA from 1 species